GAUGAACGCUGGCGGCGUGCCUAAUACAUGCAAGUCGAGCGAACAGAUAAGGAGCUUGCUCCUUUGACGUUAGCGGCGGACGGGUGAGUAACACGUGGGUAACCUACCUAUAAGACUGGAAUAACUCCGGGAAACCGGGGCUAAUGCCGGAUAACAUUUAGAACCGCAUGGUUCUAAAGUGAAAGAUGGUUUUACUAUCACUUAUAGAUGGACCCGCGCCGUAUUAGCUAGCUGGUAAGGUAACGGCUUACCAAGGCAACGAUACGUAGCCGACCUGAGAGGGUGAUCGGCCACACUGGAACUGAGACACGGUCCAGACUCCUACGGGAGGCAGCAGUAGGGUAUCUUCCGCAAUGGGCGAAAGCCUGACGGAGCAACGCCGCGUGAGUGAUGAAGGUCUUCGGAUCGUAAAACUCUGUUAUUAGGGAAGAACAAAUGUGUAAGUAACUGUGCACGUCUUGACGGUACCUAAUCAGAAAGCCACGGCUAACUACGUG
rnacentral:rRNA from 1 species